rnacentral:rRNA from 1 species
UACGUAGGGGGCGAGCGUUGUCCGGAGUUACUGGGCGUAAAGGGCAUGCAGGCGGUCGGACGCGUUUUGUGUGACAGCGGGUGGCUCAACUACGCGAGCAUACGAAAGACGGUUUGACUUGAGGGCUCGAGAGGGACACGGAAUUCCGGGUGGAGUGGUGAAAUGCGUAGAGAUCCGGAGGAACACCAGCGGCGAAGGCGGCAUCCUGGACUGGUACUGACGCUCAUGAGCGAAAGCGUGGGGAGCGAGUCCGG